rnacentral:rRNA from 1 species
AGAGUUUGAUCAUGGCUCAGAACGAACGCUGGCGGCAGGCUUAACACAUGCAAGUCGAGCGCCCCGCAAGGGGAGCGGCAGACGGGUGAGUAACGCGUGGGAAUCUACCCAUCACUACGGAACAACUCCGGGAAACUGGAGCUAAUACCGUAUACGUCCUUCGGGAGAAAGAUUUAUCGGUGAUGGAUGAGCCCGCGUUGGAUUAGCUAGUUGGUGGGGUAAUGGCCUACCAAGGCGACGAUCCAUAGCUGGUCUGAGAGGAUGAUCAGCCACAUUGGGACUGAGACACGGCCCAAACUCCUACGGGAGGCAGCAGUGGGGAAUAUUGGACAAUGGGCGAAAGCCUGAUCCAGCCAUGCCGCGUGAGUGAUGAAGGCCCUAGGGUUGUAAAGCUCUUUCAACGGUGAAGAUAAUGACGGUAACCGUAGAAGAG